AACGAACGCUGGCGGCGCGCCUAAUACAUGCAAGUCGAGCGAGAAGGUGUAGCAAUACACUUGUAAAGCGGCGAACGGGUGAGGAAUACAUGGGUAACCUACCCUCGAGUGGGGAAUAACUAGCCGAAAGGUUAGCUAAUACCGCAUACGAUUCCAGGACUUCGGUGCUGGAAGGAAAGCACUACCGUGGGUAGUGCGCUCCUGGAUGGGCCCAUGUCCUAUCAGCUUGUGGUGAGGUAAUGGCUCACCAAGGCUUCGACGGGUAGCUGGUCUGAGAGGACGAUCAGCCACACUGGCACUGCGACACGGGCCAGACUCCUACGGGAGGCAGCAGUAAGGAAUAUUGCGCAAUGGGCGACAGCCUGACGCAGCGACGCCGCGUGGGGGAGUGAAGGUCUUC
rnacentral:rRNA from 1 species